GGGUCAGUAGGUUGGUCGUGCCACCGGUACGUACUGGUCUCACUGAUUCCUCCUUCCUGAAGAACCGUAAUGCCAUUAAUUUGGUGUUGUGGGGAAACAGGACUGUUACUUUGAAAAAAUUAGAGUGUUUAAAGCAAGCUAACGCUUGAAUACAGUAGCAUGGAAUAAUGAAAUAGGACGAUCGAUCCUAUUUUGUUGGUUUCUAGGAUUGACGUA
rnacentral:rRNA from 1 species